AGCCUACUGUAGAUAAGUAAGUCUGGCUCCUCUUUGACCAGGACAGUGAGGUCACAGAUACAUGGCAGAAAGCAUCACCAAGACAGAGGUUUAGGCUAUUCCUUAUUCCCAAAACACACUUUCCAGGCUGUGGCUUUCUAAAUGCUGAGUCACAGAGCCUACUGUAGAUAAGUAAGUCUGGCUCCUCUUUGAGCAGGACAGUGAGGUCACAGAUACAUGGCAGAAAGCAUCACCAAGACAGAGGUUUAGGCUAUUCCUUAUUCCCAAAACACACUUUCCAGGCUGUAGCUUUCUUUAUGCAGAGUCACAGAGGCUUGUCGUUAGAUAAGGACACGCCUUUACAGCUGGCAUGGCUUCUAUCACUGAUUCAAACUCAAACACAUCUCUGUUCUCUUCCUGGGUUGGUUCUGUCUGUCUGUCGGCUCUACAAACACAUCCCUGUUCUCUUCCUGGGUUGGUUCUGUCUGUCUGUCUGUCUGCUCUACAAACACAUCCCUGUUCUCUUCCUGGGUUGGCUCUGUCUGUCUGUCUGUCUGUCAGCUCUACAAACACAUCUCUGUUCUCUUCCUGGGUUGGUUCUGUCUGUCUGUCUGUCGGCUCUACAAACACAUCCCUGUUGUUUGGGGCCACUGGCCGCUUCAAAGUGGAAAUUAUAAACUUCAGAAGCCUUUUAACCUCGAAAAGCUAACAAAUGGAAUUGUUUUAAGAUGGUCAUACCAUUAAUCAUUUAGCUAUUUUGAUUUAGAAUUGUAGGCCCCCUUUAGCUAUAAAAAAAACAAUUUAUAAAACAAUUAUUUGAUAAAAUAUUGAAUUUAGCCUGAAUUUAGCUCAUAUAAACACAUGAAAUAACACAUUCAUAAAUGGCAUAAAAGACAGUCCAAAAAUCUAUCAUAAGGAAUGAGGGUUUUGUAAUAAGUGUCUGUCCUAUAUCUAGGAGAUAUAAGAAAGCUCACAAAAUAUUUUUGUGUUUUUUUUGGACACAUAUUUAACCCCUUAUAUUUGUUAGCACGAAACUACCUCCAGACUUCCAUUCAUUCAUAUGGGUUAACUUCCAAACUCGUAGAGCAGAACGGAGAACACUAUUGUCUUAUUGAGAGUCUUAUCUUUCUAUAGAGAGGUCAGUCAUAGGCCUUCCGAGUGGUGCAGUGGUCUAAGGCAUUCCAUUGUAGUGCUUGAGUUGUCACUACCGACCUGGGUUCAAUCCCAGGCUGUGUCACAGCCGUGCGUGACCGGGCGACCCAUGAGGAGGCGCACAAUUGGCCCAGCGUCAUCCGUUUUACAUUUUCUGCAUUGCCGGAAAGUUAUCCUGCAACAGGCUGAUCAAAUUAAGAUCCUCCUCUGAGUCCCCAGAACUUCUGGUGUGACUAACUGGGUUUGAACCUGUGUCUCAACCAUGAGGCUGUGUUAGCACGCCGAGCUAAAGGCUGAAGCUCAGGGAGCUAACACAAGUCUUCCGGCAGGUCUCAGGCAAUGUAAGGAAUCAUGGGAACGUGUUUCACUGAACCACAUACUGGCCAACUAUUAUAGUACUGGUCUGGUUGUGUACUCUCUGAGUUUCCACAUGGCUGUCUGCGUCUAACCUUGGGUACGUCCCAAUGACACCUCAAUUACCUAUACAGUGCACUACUUUAGAGCAGGGCCCAUAGGGAAAAGAGGCCCUUUUUUCACCAAGGGGCUGACGCAAUAAUGUGAUCUACAUCUAGCUUCAGGGACAAGACUAGGACAUAUGUAUUCUACAUCUAGCUUCAAAAUCAAGACUAGGAGAUAUGUUUUCUACAUCUAGCUUCAAGGUCAAGACUAGGAGAUAUGUAUUCUACAUCUAGCUUGCUUCAGGGACAAGACUAGGAGAUAUGUAUUCUACAUCUAGCUUCAAGGACAAGACUAGGAGAUAUGUAUUCUACAUCUAGCUUCAAGGUCAAGACUAGGAGAUAUGUAUUCUACAUCUAGCUUCAAGGUCAAGACUAGGAGAUAUGUAUUCUACAUCUAGCUUGCUUCAGGGACAAGACUAGGAGAUAUGUAUUCUACAUCUAGCUUCAAGGUCAAGACUAGGAGAUAUGUAUUCUACAUCUAGCUUCAAGGUCAAGACUAGGAGAUAUGUAUUCUACAUCUAGCUUCAAGGUCAAGACUAGGAGAUAUGUAUUCUACAUAUAGCUUCAAGGACAAGACUAGGAGAUAUGUAUUCUACAUCUAGCUUCAAGGUCAAGACUUGGACAGCUGUAUUCUAUAUCUAGCUUCAAGGUCAAGACUUGGACAUCACCCAGGACUGAGACAAAACUUUACUUUGAAUGCCACUUCAUUGACCCAUGACAGAUAGAAAGGCUAAGUACUACUGACCAUAAUAAUUCAUACUCACACAACAACAACAACAACAAGAGCAACAACAACAAGCGCAACAACAACAAGAGCAACAACAACAACAAGAGCAACAACAAGCGCAACAACAACAACAAGAGCAACUACAACAAGACACUAAGUCAUACCAAACAGAUACCAGAAAACUGUUUAUUUGACUUGGAACAGGAUCUAUGGAGGAUCCCAGAUGGUGAUAAAUAUUGAUUCCACAGUAAAUCCAAUGAUUUCCUUCCCUGACAUCUCUCUGUUGCAGGCCAACUUCCUGUGUAGCUAUUGUUGCUCCUUGUGUUAUGUAGCAGCACUUUGCAGGGAAAUCAUUUGGUUCUUUGCUCUCCUGCUGAGAUCUGGAAGGGGCAAUGUUGUUAAAACCUCUUGAAG
rnacentral:lncRNA from 13 species